rnacentral:rRNA from 1 species
AGUGAACGCUGGCGGUAGGCCUAACACAUGCAAGUCGAACGGCAGCACAGUAAGAGCUUGCUCUUACGGGUGGCGAGUGGCGGACGGGUGAGGAAUACAUCGGAAUCUACUUUUUCGUGGGGGAUAACGUAGGGAAACUUACGCUAAUACCGCAUACGACCUACGGGUGAAAGCAGGGGAUCUUCGGACCUUGCGCGAUUGAAUUAGCCGAUGUCGGAUUAGCUAGUUGGCGGGGUAAAGGCCCACCAAGGCGACGAUCCGUAGCUGGUCUGAGAGGAUGAUCAGCCACACGGGAACGUGGACACCGUCCAGACUCCUACGGGAGGCAGCAGUGGGGAAUAUUGGACAAUGGGCGCAAGCCUGAUCCAGCCAUACCGCGUGGGUGAAGAAGGCCUUCGGGUUGUAAAGCCCUUUUGUUGGGAAAGAAAAGCAGCAGGUUAAUACCCCGCUGUUCUGACGGUACCCAAAGAAUAAGCACCGGCUAACUUCGUG